rnacentral:rRNA from 1 species
UACGAAGGGGGCUAGCGUUGCUCGGAAUCACUGGGCGUAAAGCGCACGUAGGCGGCUUUCUAAGUCAGGGGUGAAAUCCUGGAGCUCAACUCCAGAACUGCCUUUGAUACUGGAGAGCUUGAGUCCGGGAGAGGUGAGUGGAACUCCGAGUGUAGAGGUGAAAUUCGUAGAUAUUCGCAAGAACACCAGUGGCGAAGGCGGCUCACUGGCCCGGUACUGACGCUGAUGUGCGAAAGCGUGGGGAGCAAACAGG